UUUAAAUCAGGUGUGGAACAAGAAGGUGGUAACACUUUUUAUUGAGCGAGGGUUCUCAAAUUGGAAAAGUAAAGAAAAACUCCAAUAGCAUGUUGGAAAUCACAAUAGUGCACACAUUAAAGCUCGAAUUAAGUGCGAAGCUUUUAUAAAUCAAGAAAAAAAUUCAGGCUAUUUUCUUGAAAUAAUCACAACAAUCAUGACAUGAAUAGCGAAUUCAUUUGAGUGCAUCAAUUGAUUGUGUUCAAUUUCUUCUAAGACAAGGACUUGCAUUUUGUGGACCUGAUGAAUAUGAAGAUACAAAUAAUCAAGGAAAUUUUCUUGAAUUAUUACAUUUUUGGCUGAUCAUAAUGAGGAGAUUAAAGCUAUUACUUUCAAGAAUGCUCCUGAUAAUCUCAAAUUAACAUCAACUGACAUCCAAAAAGAUAUUGAUCAGCUCAAUGAUGUGAUCUUCUUCAAGAGAAGCAAAGACUUCGAAUUGUUGAGGCAUUCAAUCACGGUGAAUUAUCAAGUUGACGAGGCCUUAAUCAACAAACUACCCUAAAAGGCGAUACACGUUGGAGUUCUCACUGUAAUUCUUUGAUUAACUUUAUUCAAAUGUUUUCACCUACAAUUGAUGUACUUGAAACAAUUGCUGAGGAUGUCCUAAGUUCUGGAAAAAGAGUUGUAGCACGUAAUUUAUUGACCUUGAUAGUAAGAUUUGAUGUUGUAUUUGGUCUACAUCUCAUGAAAAGGAUAUUAGGAAUUUCAAAUGAAUUGUCAAAGGCAUUACAAAUGAAAGAUCAA